rnacentral:pre_miRNA from 1 species
AUAUGUUAUUGGCUGUUGUUGUGAUGUUAUUGGCUGUUGUUUUGAUGUCAUUGGCUGAACAGCCAAUCACAUCACAACAACAGCCAAUCACAUCAC